GAUGAAGAACGUAGCGAAAUGCGAUACUUGGUGUGAAUUGCAGAAUCCCGUGAACCAUCGAGUCUUUGAACGCAAGUUGCGCCCGAAGCCAUUAGGCCGAGGGCACGCCUGCCUGGGCGUCACACGUCGUUGCCCCCCCAUCUACUCCUUCGGGAUUGCGGGGGGCGGAUGAUGGCCUCUCGUGUGCCUCGUCGCGCGGUUGGCCUAAAUGCCAAGUCCUCGGCGACGCACGCCACGACAAUCGGUGGUUGCGAAACCUCGGUUGCCUGUCGUGUGCGGUCGUCGCGCAUCGAGGGCUCGAAAAAAUUGCCGGGCUUCGGCUCGACUUUCAACGCGACCCCAGGUCAGGCGGGGUUACCCGCUGAAUUUAAGCAUAUCAAUAAGCGGAGGA
rnacentral:misc_RNA from 1 species